rnacentral:rRNA from 1 species
GACGAACGCUGGCAGCGUGCCUAAUACAUGCAAGUAGAACGCUGAAGGAGGAGCUUGCUUCUCUGGAUGAGUUGCGAACGGGUGAGUAACGCGUAGGUAACCUGCCUGGUAGCGGGGGAUAACUAUUGGAAACGAUAGCUAAUACCGCAUAAUAGUAGAUGUUGCAUGACAUUUGCUUAAAAGGUGCAAUUGCAUCACUACCAGAUGGACCUGCGUUGUAUUAGCUAGUUGGUGGGGUAACGGCUCACCAAGGCGACGAUACAUAGCCGACCUGAGAGGGUGAUCGGCCACACUGGGACUGAGACACGGCCCAGACUCCUACGGGAGGCAGCAGUAGGGAAUCUUCGGCAAUGGACGGAAGUCUGACCGAGCAACGCCGCGUGAGUGAAGAAGGUUUUCGGAUCGUAAAGCUCUGUUGUAAGAGAAGAACGAGUGUGAGAGUGGAAAGUUCACACUGUGACGGUAUCUUACCAGAAAGGGACGGCUAACUACGUG